rnacentral:rRNA from 1 species
GAUGAACGCUGGCGGUAUGCUUAACACAUGCAAGUCGAACGGACUCUUCGGAGUUAGUGGCGGACGGGUGAGUAACGCGUGAGAAUCUGGCUUUGGGUUCGGGACAACCACUGGAAACGGUGGCUAAUACCGGAUGUGCCGAGAGGUAAAAGAGAAAUUGCCUGAAGAUGAGCUCGCGUCUGAUUAGCGAGUUGGUGAGGUAAAGGCUCACCAAGGCAGCGAUCAGUAGCUGGUCUGAGAGGAUGACCAGCCACACUGGGACUGAGACACGGCCCAGACUCCUACGGGAGGCAGCAGUGGGGAAUUUUCCGCAAUGGGCGAAAGCCUGACGGAGCAAUACCGCGUGAGGGAAGAAGGCUCUUGGGUUGUAAACCUCUUUUCUUAGGGAAGAACAAAAUGACGGUACCUAAGGAAUCAGCAUCGGCUAACUCCGUG